AGUGAACGCUGGCGGUAGGCCUAACACAUGCAAGUCGAACGGCAGCACAGUAAGAGCUUGCUCUUACGGGUGGCGAGUGGCGGACGGGUGAGGAAUACAUCGGAAUCUACUUUUUCGUGGGGGAUAACGUAGGGAAACUUACGCUCAUACCGCAUACGACCUACGGGUGAAAGCAGGGGAUCUUCGGACCUUGCGCGAUUGAAUGAGCCGAUGUCGGAUUAGCUAGUUGGCGGGGUGAAGGCCCACCAAGGCGACGAUCCGUAGCUGGUCUGAGAGGAUGAUCGGCCACAUGAGAGCGGAGACACGGUCCAUGCUCCUGAGGGAGGCAGCAGUGGGGAAUAUUGGACAAUGGGCGCAAGCCUGAUCCAGCCAUACCGCGUGGGUGAAGAAGGCCUUCGGGUUGUAAAGACCUUUUGUUGGGAAAGAAAAGCAGCAGGUUAAUACCCCGCUGUUCUGACGGUACCCAAAGAAUAAGCACCGGCUAACUUCGUG
rnacentral:rRNA from 1 species